rnacentral:rRNA from 1 species
UACGUAGGGGGCAAGCGUUGUCCGGAAUCAUUGGGCGUAAAGAGCGUGUAGGCGGUCCGAUAAGUCCGCUCUGAAAGCCCGGGGCUCAACCCCGGGAGGCGGGCGGAUACUGUCGGGCUAGAGUCCGGAAGAGGCAAGUGGAAUUCCUGGUGUAGCGGUGAAAUGCGCAGAUAUCAGGAGGAACACCGAUGGCGAAGGCAGCUUGCUGGGACGGUACUGACGCUGAGACGCGAAAGCUAGGGGAGCGAACAGG